rnacentral:rRNA from 1 species
UUUGUGUACGUUUGUUUUUCUAACAGCUUACAUACAAUACAUGUAUUAAUGCUAAAUGCAUAAAAAAUUUAGAAUUUUUUGUUAAUAAUUAAAAUUUAUAAUAUAUAUAUAUACGUGAUUUUUAUAUUUAUAAGUAAAUAAAGUAAUAAUUUAAAUUGUUAGUUUAAGUAUAGAGUUAGAAUAGAUAAUUUAUUUUGAUAGGGAUUGUAUUGUAAAAGAAAUUUUUAAUUAAUAAAAAGUAGAUAAUAAUAUUAUUUACCUUUUGUAUCAGGGUUUAUUAAAAUUAAUAAAAAGAUUUUUUUAUUUCUCGAAACAAAUUGAGUUAAUUAGCUAUGAAUUUUAAUUUUUUAAUAUUAUUAAAAAUAGUUAAUUAGGGAUUAAAUGUCAGUCGAAAUUUGUAUAUCUAGUUAUUUUAUAAAUAAAUUAAAUUUAAUAAAUAAUUUUUAUAUUAAUUAAUUAUUAUAAUUAAUAUAUAAUUUUUUUUGAAAAUUUAAGGGAUAAGCUUUAAAUUUAUUUUAAUAUUUUUAUUAAAAAAAUUAUUUUAAUGAAGUUAAUUUUAAUUUUUAAUUAAUUUAUGUUUUUAUAUAUAAAAGUAAAAUAUAAUAAAAAAAUAAUUUAGAAUUUAAUAUUAUUAUUUAAUUUUUUAUAAAAUUAUAAGUUUUAAUUUUAAAAAUUUAGUAAUAAUGAUAAAAUUAGUAGAAAUAAUAUUAUAUUAUAUAUUUGAGUAAUUGUAUAUAUAUAUACAUAUAUAUAAAUUUUAAAGAUUAGAUUAAGGAAUUCGGCAAAAAUUUUAUUCGCCUGUUUAAUAAAAACAUGGUUUAUUGAUAAUAAUUUUAAAUCAAAUCUGCCCAAUGAAUUAUUUAAAUGGCUGCAGUAUUUUUACUGUACAAAGGUAGCAUAAUCAUUUGGCUUUUAAUUAAAGUCUAGAAUGAAGGAUUUAAGGAGAUAAAAUCUGUCUCAAUUUAAUUAAUAAUUGAAUUUUAUUUUACGUAAAAAUUCUUAAAUAAUAUUAAAAGACGAGAAGACCCUAUAGAAUUUUAUAAUAAAAAUGAUUUAAUUUAUUAAAAAAUUUAUAGUUUAAAUUAUUUUAUUAUUUGGUUGGGGAUAACUAAAAAAUUUGAUUAAUUUUUUUUUAAUUUAUAUAUAUAUAUAUUACCAUUGAUUUAUGAUAUAUUAAAUUGAUAAAAUCCAUUAUUAAUGAAUAAAAAGUAAAUUACCUUAGGGAUAACAGCGUAAUUUUUUUGGAGAGUUAAUUGAUAAAAAAGUUUGCGACAUCAAUGUUGAAUUAAGUUAAAUAGUUAUUUGAGUAAAUAGCUUAAUUAUGUCUGUUCGACUUCUAAAAACUUACAUGAUUUGAGUUUAAAACGGUGUGAGCCAGUUUGGAUUCUAUUUUUAAUUUAUUUUAAUAAAUUUGUACGAAAGGACUUUUUAUUGAUACUAUAGUAUUAAAAUUAUUUGAAUAGAAAAUAAAU